rnacentral:rRNA from 1 species
GAUGAACGCUGGCGGCGUGCCUAAUACAUGCAAGUAGAACGCUGAAGGAGGAGCUUGCUCUUCUGGAUGAGUUGCGAACGGGUGAGUAACGCGUAGGUAACCUGCCUGGUAGCGGGGGAUAACUAUUGGAAACGAUAGCUAAUACCGCAUGACAACAGUUAUUGCAUGAUAACUGUUUAAAAGGGGCAACUGCUCCACUACCAGAUGGACCUGCGUUGUAUUAGCUAGUUGGUGAGGUAACGGCUCACCAAGGCGACGAUACAUAGCCGACCUGAGAGGGUGAUCGGCCACCCUGGGACUGAGACACGGCCCAGACUCCUACGGGAGGCAGCAGUAGGGGAUCUUCGGCAAUGGACGGAAGUCUGACCGAGCAACGCCGCGUGAGUGAAGAAGGUUUUCGGAUCGUAAAGCUCUGUUGUAAGAGAAGAACGAGUGUGAGAGUGGAAAGUUCACACUGUGACGGUAUCUUACCAGAAAGGGACGGCUAACUACGUG